rnacentral:rRNA from 1 species
GAUGAACGCUGGCGGCGUGCCUAAUACAUGCAAGUCGAGCGAACAGACGAGGAGCUUGCUCCUCUGACGUUAGCGGCGGACGGGUGAGUAACACGUGGAUAACCUACCUAUAAGACUGGGAUAACUUCGGGAAACCGGAGCAAAUACCGGAUAAUAUAUUGAACCGCAUGGUUCAAUGGUGAAAGACGGUUUUGCUGUCACUUCUAGAUGGUUACGCGCCGCAUUAGCUAGUUGGUAAGGUAACGGCUUACCAAGGCGACGAUGCGUAGCCGACCUGAGAGGGUGGUCGGCCACACUGGAACUGAGCCACGGUCCAGACUCCUACGGGAGGCAGCAGUAGGGAAUCUUCCGCAAUGGGCGAAAGCCUGACGGAGCAACGCCGCGUGAGUGAUGAAGGUCUUCGGAUCGUAAAACUCUGUUAUUAGGGAAGAACAAAUGUGUAAGUAACUAUGCACGUCUUGACGGUACCUAAUCAGAAAGCCACGGCUAACUACGUG